CUCAUUUCAGAUCUGCGGCAGGAACUUGGACCAGUUCACACGCUAGUGAUUUUGCCAACUUCCUGGAUAUUCAUUCUGGUUCUGCACAAAAGAGCCACAUUUCCUUCUGGAAUCGGGACCAGGACACAGACACAGCAGCCGACCCUGGAAACUGUCGUGAGGAUUUGAGAUUGUGAAUGAAAAGGCCAGGCCCCUAGCAUGUGCCAGAUCGAGGCCGUCAUGGCCGUCUGUGGGUCAGCUCCCGGAGCCCAGGGUCAAAAGGGCUGACGGGCCCCCUGGCAUCACAUCUUGGGCCCCUGCAAGUGGGGUGACCCUGGGUGUGCCCUCUCCGUGCUGGUGCUGCCCUGGGAGUGUGGCCCCCAGACUGGCAGCCUUGCCGUCGUGGGAGUCUGUUGGAAGUGGAGUGUCGAGCCCCGCCCAGCACUCCUGAGUCAGAACCAGGGCUUUGUGUGCACCGGCCUGGAGCACACGGAGACAGAGGCCACCUGUCCCAGAGGAGGCUCCCUCUCCCACUCCUGUGCCCUGCCGUUUGUGUGAGCGGUGCCCGAGCUGCUGGCCUGAGGAAGCAUGGGAGAUGUGCAGAGCGAGCUGGGCCGCCCCAGCCAUCCCCGCAGAACUACGACGUCUUCUGGAGAUGCCUGCAUCCUUGGCUCGUGGCCCCUCCCUCCAUCCUUCACAGCGGAAGUGCUGCACCUCUCCACCUCUUUCUUCGUCUUCCUCUGAUCGCCUCUUCUACCCCCGUCUCCUGCUUUCAAGGACCCUCUACCACGUUUCCAUGGCCUGUCCUGUCACGGUCUCACGAUGGCUGCUGUGUCUCCAGACAUCAUGUCUGCAUUCAAGGGAGGAAAGGGGGAGAAGGCUUCCAGGACAGCGCC